UACGGAGGGUGCAAGCGUUGUCCGGAAUCACUGGGUGUAAAGGGUGUGUAGGCGGGACAGUAAGUCAGGGGUGAAAGCCUGCGGCUUAACCGUAGAAUUGCCUUUGAUACUGCUGUUCUUGAGUCCUGGAGAGGUCGCUGGAAUUCGUGGUGUAGCGGUGAAAUGCGUAGAUAUCACGAGGAACACCAGAGGUGUAGACGGGCGACUGGACAGGUACUGACGCUGAGGCACGAAAGCGUGGGGAGCAAACAGGAUUAGAAACCCCCGUAGUCC
rnacentral:rRNA from 1 species